rfam:Sus scrofa chromosome 3.
UCCCUGGUAGCCUAGUGGUUAAGGAUCCAGCAUUGUCAUUGCUGUGGCUCAGGUUCGAUCCCUGGCCUGGGAA